GAUUUCAACUGAAAAAGUUAUCAACAACAAAGUUGAAUAACUCAUCAUGAUCUAAAACUUUUAUUUUGGUCAUUUCUUCAUCUGAUAAAGUGAUAGUAACAUUGUUCACAAAAUUGACAUAUUUCUUAUCUGGUUUUAUAAACAAUAACACAUAUAUGUAAAAUUUGUGAACAAUGUUACUAACAUUUUAUCAGAUGAAGAAAUGACCAAAAUAAAAGUUUUAGAUCAUGAUGAGUUAUUCAACUUUGUUAUUGAUAACUUUUUCAGUUGAAAUC
rfam:Oryza sativa (indica cultivar-group) chromosome 4, whole genome shotgun sequence.